UACGUAGGUGGCGAGCGUUGUCCGGAUUUACUGGACGUAAAGGGAGCGUAGGCGGACUUUUAAGUGAGAUGUGAAAUACCCGGGCUCAACUUGGGUGCUGCAUUUCAAACUGGAAGUCUAGAGUGCAGGAGAGGAGAAUGGAAUUCCUAGUGUAGCGGUGAAAUGCGUAGAGAUUAGGAAGAACACCAGUGGCGAAGGCGAUUCUCUGGACUGUAACUGACGCUGAGGCUCAAAAGCGUGGGGAGCAAACAGGAUUAGAUACCCU
rnacentral:rRNA from 1 species